UACGUAGGUGGCAAGCGUUGUCCGGAUUUAUUGGGUUUAAAGGGUGCGUAGGCGGCUUUGUAAGUCAGUGGUUAAAUAUGGCAGCUUAACUGUCAGGGUGCCAUUGAUACUGCAGAGCUUGAGUACAGAUGAGGUAGGCGGAAUUGACGGUGUAGCGGUGAAAUGCUUAGAUAUCGUCAAGAACACCUAUAGCGAAGGCAGCUUACUAGGCUGUAACUGACGCUGAGGCACGAAAGUGUGGGGAUCAAACAGG
rnacentral:rRNA from 1 species